CAGCCGCCGCGGUAAUACCGGCGGCCCGAGUGGCGGUCACUAUUAUUGGGCUUAAAGCGUCCGUAGCCGGGUUGGGAAGUCCUCCGGGAAAUCUGGCCGCUUAACGGUCAGAAUGCCGGAGGAUACUCCCAGCCUAGGGAGCGGGAGAGGCCGAGGGGCUUCCCGGAGUAGGGGUGAAAUCCUAUAAUCCCGGGAGGACCACCUGUGGCGAAGGCGCUCGGCUGGAACGCGUCCGACGGUGAGGGACGAAGGCCAGGGGAGCAAACCGGAUUAGAUACCCGGGUAGUCCUGGCUGUAAACGAUGCGGACUUUGUGUCGGACAAGCUAUGAGCUUGUCCGGUGCCGGAGGGAAACCGUUAAGUCCGCCGCCUGGGGAGUACGGCCGCAAGGUUGAGACUUAAAGGAAUUGCGGG
rnacentral:rRNA from 1 species